rnacentral:lncRNA from 1 species
AGAAAAAGAGAAAAAAGAUAGCUAUUUCUAUAUAGAGCAGAAAAAGUAUGUGCGAGCAGCAUUUAAUUUCCCUUUCUGCAAUUAUGUCAUAAUAUAUAAGAGUUAAAUAAAGUAAACGAUAUGGAAACUUGUUCGUGGAUAAUAAUAAAAUCAAGUAGAAAAAUUCAAACUAUUGUAUAAAUAGAAUAAUGUAAUAAUUUACCAAUAAAAAUCAUAAAAAUAUAAAUGUAUUGUUUCUAUUAUUAAAAAUGAUUAAAUAUCUUCGUGCCGCUCUAGCCACUUCGCUUUCUAUCGGAUAAUUAAUCGUGUAGUUAAUUUUAUAUGUAUUUAUAUGUGUGUAUGUGUGUGACUAAUUUUAAAAUUAUUUUUAUUCCAAAUUUUCUUAUCUAGUGCAACAAGAUAUAUGGAAAAAAUAAUAUGGAGAUGUAUAUAAUAAUAUGCGGAACGGAACCCUUCUUAAAAUAACAAAAGCGAGGGGAAUGAUGAUCUAUGAUAUAAAAAUAACAAAUGAUAUAAUCAGAAGAUUAUUAAGCUAGCAUGAGCAUUCUCUCUCACAACGAGCGAAGACUUGGAGCGUUAAAAGCAGCAUGAUAGAAAGAAAUACAGAGAGGGUGACAGCUACGGACCCUAGAUAUUAAUACGUGUACGGUGUCGGUUCACUUUGUCGAGCAACGACGUGUAAGAUCGACUCUGCUGGAGAGAUACGCUCUUCGUGCCAUACCGCUGAUACUUUGUCCUCGUUGCAAGGUGAAAUGCUAACUAAAGGGGAUGUUUUAAUGGCAAAGAUAAUAAUAUGCCCGGUCGCGAUAGCUAUUCCUAGACCAACAGAAAUAUUCGCAUGACAGCAAUACACACCAUUCCCCGUUGAUUCCUACAGUUGAUUCAAAGAAGAAGGCAUUACAAUCAAAAUUUUGCUAAUUAUAUUCAGAAUAUUGGAACCAAAAAAAAUACACUUACGGGGCAUAAACAUAUAUACACAUAACAUUAUUCCAUUAGAAAUAUCUGUUUUAAUUGGUGUAUUAAAUAUCAUCUAUCUUUUUAAAUUUUUAAUAGUAUUACAUUUAAAUUAUCCUGAUAAAAUAAUAUAUAAUACAAGAAAUUUUAUUGUAAAACUUUUUUCAUUUAGAUAUAUUGUGAUAUUUUUAAAUACUAUACGUGUCACAUUAUAAAUGUUAAAAAUUAAUUUAAUGAUCAAGUAGAAAUUAAAGUUCGUUGUAUAACAAUAACAAAUAAAAUUAUUUUUUUAAUUUGCACUUUGAAAUGUUCUAUUUCCACGACUAAAUUUAUAGCAGUGAUACGCUGUAAUGUAAUUGAACAAUUGAUAAUGAUCAAUCCAUCGAAUAAAAUCUGUUUCUUUUUUCUAUGUUCAAUAGAUGAAUCUAUCGAACAUAGAGAAAAGAUUAUUUUGUUUGUUCGCAUUUAAUUUGUGUAAUAAAAUAACACAUCCAUCUCAAAGAGCAUGAUAUCAACAUUGACGUAGCGUAUAUAUCGUCUAUACACGUACAGAAUCGAUAUUUGAGUAAUUCCUCAGCGAUACUUAAAUAUAAACGAACGUUCGUUGCUUUUGUUAUCACAAAAUUCAGCAAACUAUCAUACAUCCCAUAAAUAUGGCACUGAAAAAGGCUGUUAGAUCGAUUGCGUCCCUAAAUAUAAAAACUGCAUGUAUAUACCGCGUAUAUAAAAAGUCUGCGCAAACGAAGUAACUUGGAGCUAUUGCACGCAACAUAUAGCUCAUAUACUCUUUCACACGAUAUAUAUACCUAUUUUUUUAGGAAAAAAACCUACACACACGCGUGCGCGCGUUUAGAAUUAUAAGAAUAUGUUUAGAUAUUUUUUUAAAUAAAUUUUAGUUGUAAUGACAACUCAUUGUUAAACAAGAGACAAACGCGAAAUUACGUAUACGUUGAAAAAAUUUACAAAUUUUAAAUUGAUGUCAAAAGAUAACGUUUCUAUACAUACUAUGAUGACGUCAGAACGUAUACUGUUCAAAUAUAUGUAUCACAUUACCUUAAUUAUUUGAUCCAUGAUGCAUUUUUGGUUCAUCAAAUUUCAAAGGAUUUCUUUUCACUGUGCUUUAAUCGGCCCUCGCAGUUAAUUAUGAUAAAGGACUCAACAUGUCGAACGCUUAUUUUUUGUAAGAGAUAAUAAAAACAUCUUACGAAAAUGGAAAAUUUGUAUUACUAUCAAAAACCGAACUCCGAAAUAAAAAUUGUGUCAAUUUAUUCAGAAUGGCAAAUGUACAUUUCACAAA